AGGGGGUUUGAUCAUGGGCUCAGAACGAACGCUGGCGGCGUGCCUAACACAUGCAAGUCGAACGAGAAAGUGGACUUCGGUCCGCGAGUAAAGUGGCAGACGGGUGAGUAACACGUGGGCAACCUGCCCGGAGGUGGGGGAUAACCCUUCGAAAGGGGGGCUAAUACCGCAUGAUAUCUCGUGGCUACGGCUGUCGAGAUCAAAGCUAGCCUCUACUUGUAAGCUAGUGCCACCGGAGGGGCCCGCGCCCCAUUAGCUUGAUGGUGAGGUAACGGCUCACCAUGGCUACGAUGGGUAGCCGGCCUGAGAGGGUGAUCGGCCACACUGGAACUGAGACACGGUCCAGACUCCUACGGGAGGCAGCAGUGAGGAAUUUUUGCGCAAUGGGGGAAACCCNUGACGCAGCGACGCCGCGUUGGAGGACGAAGGCCUUCGGGUCGUAAAACUCCUGNUCGGAGCGGGACGAAUGCCGGUGGGGAAAUGGAAUAAAGUCUCACGGUUUGAACGGUUACCGGCCUGGGAAGGAAGCCCCCGGGCUUAAACUCCG
rnacentral:rRNA from 1 species